GUGCGUCCGCGCGAGGCGCAUGCGCGCUAGGACCACCGUGGCAGCUUGAGGGCGGCCUAGAGGCCUGUCCGGGGUGAAGGCCACACCCCUUUGCCAGACAUGCAUUGUCCUUAGAAAAGCUUACAUGGAAAAACAGCAGCUGGAGAUUUCUCCUUUAUAAAGCCUCGUGGUGGAACACGUAUGCUUGAUGUGAAGGAUGAACGCGCCAAGUAGGGACUCGAUAGGAAUGGGGAAAGUUCCAUCACCAUGAGUCUGGCGUCUCAUUGGUCAUCUUAGAUCUACCCCAGUAUUUUAUGGCU